rnacentral:rRNA from 1 species
GACGAACGCUGGCGGCGUGCUUAACACAUGCAAGUCGAACGAAGAGCGAUGGAAGCUUGCUUCUAUCAAUCUUAGUGGCGAACGGGUGAGUAACGCGUAAUCAACCUGCCCUUCAGAGGGGGACAACAGUUGGAAACGACUGCUAAUACCGCAUACGAUCUAAUCUCGGCAUCGAGGAUAGAUGAAAGGUGGCCUCUACAUGUAAGCUAUCACUGAAGGAGGGGAUUGCGUCUGAUUAGCUCGUUGGAGGGGUAACGGCCCACCAAGGCGAUGAUCAGUAGCAGGUCUGAGAGGAUGAACGGCCACAUUGGGACUGAGACACGGCCCAGACUCCUACGGGAGGAAGCAGUGGGGAAUCUUCCGCAAUGGACGAAAGUCUGACGGAGCAACGCCGCGUGAGUGAUGACGGCCUUCGGGUUGUAAAGCUCUGUUAAUCGGGACGAAAGGCCUUCUUGCGAAUAGUGAGAAGGAUUGACGGUACCGGAAUAGAAAGCCACGGCUAACUACGUG